GAGGAUUUCGUUGGAAACGGGAAUACAUACAAAAAGCAGACAGCAGCGUUGUGAGAAACGUCUUUAUGAUGUUUGCAUUCAAGUCACAGAGUUGAACGUUCCGUAUCAUAGAGCAGGUUGGAAACACGCCUUUUGUCAUAUCUGGAAGUGUCCAUUUGGAGUGCAUUCAGGCUUGUGUUGAAAAAGGAAAUACCUUCCCAUAGAAACAAGACAGAAGCAUUCUCAGAAACUUAUUUGUGAUGUGUGUACUCAACUAACAGAAUUCAACAAUCGUUUUGAAGGAGCAGUUUUGAAACACUCUUUUUGUGGAAUCUGCAAGUGCAUAUUUAGCUAGAUUUGAGGAUUUCGUUGGAAACGGGAUUACAUAUAAAAAGCAGACAGCAGCAUUCUCAGAAACUUCUUUGUGAUGUUUGCAUUGAAGUCCCAGAUUUGAACAUUCCCUUUCAUAGAGCAGGUUUGAAACACGCCUUUUGUCAUAUCUGGAAGUUGUCCAUUUGGAGCGCAUUCCGGCUUGUGUUGAAAAAGGAAAUAUCCUCCCAUAAAAACUAGAUAGAAGCAUUCUCAGAAACUUAUUUGUGAUGUGUGUACUCAACUAACAGAGUUGAACCUUUCUUUUGAGAGAGCAGUUUUGAAACACUCUUUUUGUGGAAUCUGCAAGUGGAUAUUUG
rnacentral:lncRNA from 10 species